CGCGCCUGCCAAGCAUGGCGUCGUCGCGGCCGUUGCCCCCGCGAUCCCCUUCCAUCGACCUGCCAAGCAUGGCAUCGCCCCGGCCGUUGCCACGCCCGCCGCACACGCCGCGAUGAGAUCCUGGACCCCCCGCGACAUCCUCCUCCACCGCGCCAUGGCCGCCCCCGACGUCCUCGCGCGCCGCUCCCCGAGGUGGGCAUGGUGCGCACGACCAUCGCGGGGGUCACGACGGCGGCGCGGUUCCAGGAGCUGGUGGACUGGAUGGAGGAGUGGAAGGCGGCGUUCAGGGACAACAGCAAGUGGACGGAGACGGUGAACCUGGGGCUCGGGAGCCUCGCGCUCAUCAUGUCCGGGCUGCUUCCGUUCGCCAUCGACGGGGACCUCGGGUUCGGGAAGCCCAGCCUCGUGCUACCCUGGGUGCGCCAUGGCCGGCUGGGAUCCGCGUCCGUGAUGGUGGUGCCCUGCCCCAGCGGCGACAUGUCGUGGUUCUUCGGCGGCACCAGGAUGUGGCUGCGGCUCAUGGAGGUGGUCGAAUCCGACCCUUUGAUGAAGCAGACAACGAACCUGGGAAUGGCGACAGAGGCGGGAUCCCGUCUGUGACUGUGAGCUCGCGCUGGCGGUACCUGCCAUUACGGUGUACGGGUAUCAUCGCCAUCAUCAUCCAGAUCCAGGACAUUUCCGGAUAGAUGACAUAAUCUGUUCAUCUCAAAUGCCACAACAUUCGUGGGCACAUGUUGCCUUGUUGGCUUCAUUUAGCUCGCCCGACAUCAUAUUUUAGCAACUAUCUGUCAUAUAUAAUCUACUAAAAUGGUUUAUUUUUUCAUUUACUCUUAUACUCUCAUUUUUCCAACCAGGACUUCUGAGCACAUGGAAGAUGAAGGAGACGUUGCAACUCCUUUACACUUUCCAAAUUUUUAUUAAAUAUACCAAUAUCACGAGGUGAACCUUCGAGUUUAGUGAUUUUUCAUAUCCAUGGUUUGCAGGCAAGUAAACUUAUUACAUAUAAUCCAUUGAACUUCAUGUCUUGGUUUGUCCAAUUCGACAUCGAAGGGCUCGCCAUGUGGGGUGACGUCGACGGGGCUUCACCUGUCCUAUUCUAUCAUUAUUGUGAUUACUGACUAUGCCAUUGUUUGUGCUACUGCUGCUUAUGCUUGCAGUGCCACAAAGGCAAGCGAACCUUUGAUUUGGUCCAUGUUCUGGUCUAACCUUGUUGGGUCCACACUCCAUGGGUCACUUUCACAUUACUACUACCAUAUCUGUGAGCUGCGGAGAAGAAAAAGGUAUCAAAUAUCAAGCAGCUUUACGGCAGCGAAGGAUCAUUCACUAUGAGUGGAUAUUAAACUGUUGCAAGGAAAACAUCUUCAUUUUCAUCCUAGAUAGACUUUUAGUCCUUUUUUGUCACCCCUCAAGGGACUAGAGACUAAAAGGGUUUAGUCCUUCAUAUUUGGAAAUUUGGUAGUCUGAUGCAUGCACAUUCGAUCUGUCUCAUCAGUGACAUGUAUCGCUUGUCAUUUGAUGAAAAUGGAAGUUGAACGAUCAUUCUCUUUUUGGGCACUGCUGAAGGUGAUGUUGUUCACCCAACUGAGUGUAUGCCCCAGCUGCUUGAGCAAGUUCGGCAUCACAAAGCGAAUAUCGAUUGCAAUGAUUAUAUUGUCAUGGUGACUACAUUGGUUCUUGAGGUUGAGGAUUUGUCUACACAACAAGUGAAUGAUAAGCUCCUAGAAGCUGUACAACCUUAAGCACUCGAGCAAUGGAGCAAUGUGGUAUGAUGAGAGCAUAGGAGGUUUGUCGAGAUGAGGUCGAAACAUGGCCCCAAUGUAACUAGACCAGAGCAAUUGACAAUCUAGGCAAUAUCCGCUAUCUGGUCCAUUGUUUCUCUCGUGGGUCCAUUGUUUCUGUCGUGGGUCAGACGUCUUCGACGUGAAGAGAGGUUGUUUUGUCAUUUCCACAUUCUGAAGCGUAAUGUAGUGCAGUGGACGCAUAUAGCUACUACGUAUGUUAAAGUUGUAUUUUUUAUAUCUCAUAUUAGAUGUAUUUACU